rnacentral:rRNA from 1 species
GAUGAACGCUGGCGGCGUGCCUAAUACAUGCCAGUCGAGCGGACAGACGAUGAUCUUGCGCCGCGGACGUUAGCGGAGGGGGGGUGAGUAACGCGUGGAUAACCUACCUGUAAGAGGGAUAUAACUUCGAGAAAGGGGCUCUUAUAGCAUAGGAGAUAUUGAACCGCGGUGGGGGAUGGUGAGAGACGGCGGUGCGGGCAGGUCUAGAGGGUUCCGCGCCGGAUUAGGUAGUUGUGGAGGUAACGGCUUACGAAGGCGAGGAUGCGUAGGCGACCUGAGAGGGUGAUAGGCCACCCUGGAACGUAGCCAGGGUCCAGACUCCUACGGGAGGCAGCAGUAGGGAAUCUUACGCAAUGGGCGAAAGCCUGACGGAGCAACGCCGCGUGAGUGAUGAAGGUCCUCGGAUCGUAAAACUCUGUUAUUAGGGAAGAACAAAUGUGUAAGUAAACAUGCCCGUAUUGACGGUACCUAAUAAGAAAGCACCGGCUAACUACGUG